UUCAGUCAUUUUGUAUUACAAAUGGGAAAUUGGUAAUCAGUUUGAUCAUCUGAUUACCAAUUUCCCAUUUGUAAUGCGAAAUGACUGAAAAACGGCAAA